GAAAUGACAGACAGCUAUCUCUUCUCUAGGGCUUCAGAAUCCCACUGAAGAGCUGCUUCAGCCAGGGACCUUGAGUUCCCAGGGGUAAGGAAGCAGAGCAUCGAGGGAAGCAGGGAGAAAAAGGAAGGGAGAAAUUCCAGUAAAGUACCCAUGCAAGCCACCAAGAUUCCGGGCGAGGUGUCAGAGCCCUAGUAAUGAAAAGUGGUUGACUUACGGGUAGUGAGAAUUUACUGACAACAGCAUUGGUUUGAAAAGGAAAGUUUUGUUAGAAAGAACGCUGCAGAAGAGUGCAGUGGGGCACCUCAGCAAGGGAGGACUGAAUGCACCAUGGUCAGUUUUUCCUUAGGGGCAUUUAUGAAUCUUAAGAGCUUAAGGAUAGUUUGGACCAUAUUAGCCAUGUAGGUCAUGAUAAAUGAUUACAUUUGUAGACAUUUUUGUGCCUUAAUGUCCCUGUUCUAGAAAUGGUCAAUUACAAAGCACAACAUAAGACUGGAACAUUGGAGUUAAGUAGCAGAGAUCAAAACAAAAGCAUUCCCAGAAGCACGGAGAAGUGAGGAGAAAAGGCAAUGCACCUGGAGCUGGAGACCAAGACCCCGUUCUUACUGAUGGCCCUUGGAGCAGAUAUUUGAAUUGGAGAGAUAAAACCGUGGUUUUUGGGGUGUUAAUUUUGGUGGCUGAUGCAUUCUGUGAUUGAUUUGGCUAUUACAACUGGUAUUGAUUUUAAACACAUUAAUUGCAAAAUCUCAAUUGUGAUUUGAUUUCUGUAUUUACAAUACUAAAAACGAGGCUUUCGCCAGGAGAAGACAAUUGGCAGUACUCAGUUGGAAGUGCUUAAUUGUUAAUAUAUAUCAGCCGUGGUUCUUCAGCGUCGUCAGUGUUGCUCAGUCUUGCUCUUUGUGGCGACUACUGAAUGCUUGAAAAAUUCUCUCCUAUACUCCCACUCUGCGCUGUAGAAGAGAAAGAGAGGAGAGUGGAAGAAAAAAGAGAGGGAGAGGAGAAAGAAAGAAAGGAGAGAGAAACAUGGGCAUGGAUGAUACAUAAGAUAAUUCCAGAAGAUUUCAGCAUAGCAGAUAAAAUACAGCAAAUCCUAACCAGCACAGGUUUGAGUGACAAACGGGCCGGUUCCAUGGGCACAGAUGACUUCAUCAGUGGAGACUCAGUUCACUUGAAAAUAGAUGCAAGAAAGACUGGAAUCACAAUUUCAAUGGAAAUUAACAAUUUUUGUUUUCUGACAUCUCCAAAACACUGUAGCAGCUUCUUCCGAAGGUGACAGUAUCGCUGCCUUGGUAGAUCUUGCAGCAUACAUAUUGUUGAUCUUAUCUUCACCAAGCACUUUUAACUGUGGUACGUUGGGCUUUUCUGAAUCAAAUGGAACUUGUUCUAAUAGCAUGAGGGCGGCAUUCAAAACAAUAUUAGAAAAUCGAUAUACAUAAACAUAUAUUAAUUUUAUUUAAAGAAAGAACAAAAUAAACAUCAUUUAUGUUUAAUAUAUUCGUUGACACUGGUCUGAAUUGACAUGCAAAUAUCUUCAUUUCAUCUAUUUAUAAUGGUCAAAGUAUCCUUGAUACCAUAAAUGUCUUGGCAUAAAAAUAUUAAAGGAAAUAGCCCACAAAUUGUAGUAAUAGUAAUAAUGAAGCACAAAUAAGAACAAAAUGUCAGAACUGACACUUCUCCUCCCUAUCAGAACCAUCUUUAGAUUUAUCUGAGUCUGCAAAGAAAUGGGGACCUGUUAAUAUUUUAAUAAUUAGUAAAAAGUGAAGGCUUUUUGACAGAAUUAUGCUAUUGAGAGAAUAUUCCAAAGGUGGAUGUUUGAAAUGUUUUCAUCACCAUAUGCUUAUCUUUUUGCCAAAACAAUGUAAAUGUGUUGCUUAUAAAACUUCUGUUAUUUGUGCACAUUAAAAACAAAUUUUUCUAGACAUUUUUCAUAUUCCAAGCAAAUGGUUUUAAUGGUUUUAAAAUAUAUUUGAUAAACAUAAAAAUAUGACUUCUAAUUAGUAUUAUUUCCAUUUGAGAAUAUAAUCAGCUAUUUGUUGAUUGUCAAUAACAAUACAAUUGACAUAAUUGGUAUUUGGGAUUGAAAAAUGUAUACCAUGAUAUGCUUCCUCUAUAUGGAUUCAUGUAUCUCUAUGAGAUUUUCUUCAGAUAUAUCAGCAUUAAAACAAACCUUUAACAUCCUAUUCAAUAAAUGGUACUGAAAAAAUUAGCCAUAUGCAAAAGAAUGAAACUGGAUCCCUGCCUCUCACCAUAUACAAAAAUGAACUCAAGACGGAUUAGAGACUUAGAUUUUUGAGGAACCUCCAAACUCUUCUCUGUAGACCUCAAACUAUAAAGAUCCUAGAAGAAAACCCAGGAAAAACUUUUCUGGACAUUGGCCUAGGUAAAGAAUUUAUGACUAAGACCUCAAAAGCAAACUCAGUAAAAACAAAAACAGACAAGCGGGACUUCAUUAAAUUACAAAGCUUUUGCACAGCAAAAGAAAUAACAGAGUAAACAGACAACCUACAGAAUGGAAGGAAAUAUUUACCAGCUAUGCAUCUCACAAAGGACUAAUAUCCAGAAUCUACAAACGGCUCAAAGAACUCAACAAGAAAAGAAGAAAUAACCCCAUUAAAAGGUAGACGAAGGACAUGAACAGACAUUUCUCAAAAGGAGACAUACAGGCAGCCAACAAACAUAUGAAAACAUGUUCAAUAUCACUAAUCUUUCUCAAAAGGAGACAUACAGGCAGCCAACAAACAUAUGAAAACAUGUUCAAUAUCACUAAUCAUCAGCAAAAUGCAAAUUAAAACCACAAUGAGAUAUCAUCUCACCCCAGUCAGAAUGCCUAUUAUUAAAAAGACAAGAAACAACGGAUGUUGGCGAGGAUGUGGAGAAAAGGGAAUGCUUAUGCACUGUUGGCAGGAAUGUAAAUUAGUAUAACCUCUAUGGCAAACAGCAUGGAGAUUUCUCAAAUAACUAAAAAUAGAACCACCAUUUAACACAGCAAUCCCAUUACUGGCUAUCUACUCAAAAGAAAAAAAAAAACGCACGUGCACUCGUAUGUUUAUCAUAACAGUGUUCACAAUAGCAAAGUCAUGAAAUCAACAUAGAUGCCCAUCAGUGGUAGACUGGAUAAAGAAAAUGUGAUGUGUAUGCACUAUGGAAUACUAUGCAGCCAUUAAAAUGAAUGAAGUAAUGUUUUUUGCAGCAACAUGAACAAAGUUGAAUGCCAUUAUGCUAAGUAAAAUAACUCAGAAACAGAAAAUCAAACACCACGUGUUGUUCACUUAUAAGUUAGAGGUAAACAUUGGGUGCACAUGGACAUACAGAAGGGGACAAUAGACACUGAGGACUACAAAAGGGCAGAGGUUAGUUUUGAAAAAUUACCUAUCUGGUACAAUGUUCACUUUUCGGGUGAUGGCUACUGUAGGAGCCCACACAUCACCACCCAAGCAAUAUAUCCACGUAUCAAACUUGCAUAUUACCCCCUCAGUCUAUAAAAAUAAUGAAUGAAUGAAUAAAU
ensembl:lincRNA